CGGAGAGAGAUCAGAGAACAGAGAGACUGCAAAAAGAAAGAAGAGUACACACUCAUCUUUGUUUUGCAGCUCCUUCAUCACCAACAUACGAAUAAGAAAUAAACUCUUUGCCUUGGGAACUAUCAGUGCAUUGAAAAAGCAGCAGAAAUGAAUUCAGGAAAUGCAGCCAAGACUGGGGAGGGCCGUUCAUUCAAGAGCAAUGCCCCAAAGGCUGGUGGGAAGGGAUUUGGUGGUGGCAUCCCAGGAAUGGAUGGACUUGGAGCAGGUGAUGUGGUCUGCCCGUGGGAGACCUUUGGCGAUAUGGAGAUGAGCGACUUGGCGGCAUUUGGCAUCGUCUGACCCCCACCCCCCCCACCCCCCCCUACUUUAAUCUGCAAUGAUGCGCACCCAUGCUGCAGUCUGACUUGCUCAUACAGCCCCAUGUUGUGUAAAUUGCAAAUCAUUGUACCAAAUGUGGGUUAAGUUAUGGGGAAGUCAUCUGGUCAUCACUGUCACCAACGCAAACUAGAGCCGCAGCUCAGCUUAGUUCAUUUCAGCUUUGAGCGGCGUGAGUUAUAAUGUACCUCACCUAAUGUCCUUCAUCCUUCUGCACUUUCUCUUAUCUUUUUGAAAUAAAAUUACCUUCAAAUGCAUCAUGCAAACAUGUGAUGCCCUAAUA